AGAUUAUGUUGUGGAAAAGUGUGAAGUAAUCCCUUGUAACAUUCUGAUGCUUCAUAUAAAUAUUCUCCAUCUAGUUGUUGGAAGUUUUAGAUGUUCUUUAUCU